rnacentral:rRNA from 1 species
AGAGUUUGAUCCUGGCUCAGAACGAACGCUGGCGGCAUGCCUAACACAUGCAAGUCGAACGAAGCCUUCGGGCUUAGCGGCGCACGGGUGCGUAACACGUGGGAAUCUGCCCUUCGGUUCGGAAUAACAGUUAGAAAUGACUGCUAAUACCGGAUGAUGACGAAAGUCCAAAGAUUUAUCGCCGAAGGAUGAGCCCGCGUAGGAUUAGGUAGUUGGUAGGGUAAUGGCCUACCAAGCCGACGAUCCUUAGCUGGUCUGAGAGGAUGAUCAGCCACACUGGGACUGAGACACGGCCCAGACUCCUACGGGAGGCAGCAGUGGGGAAUAUUGGACAAUGGGCGAAAGCCUGAUCCAGCAAUGCCGCGUGAGUGGUGAAGGCCUUAGGGUUGUAAAGCUCUUUUACCAGGGAUGAUAAUGACAGUACCUGGAGAAUAAGCUCCGGCUAACUCCGUG